UACGUAGGGGGCAAGCGUUGUCCGGAAUCAUUGGGCGUAAAGAGCGCGUAGGCGGCCCUGUAAGUCCGCUGUGAAAGUCCAGGGCUCAACCCUGGGAUGCCGGUCGAUACUGCCGGACUAGAGUUCGGAAGAGGCGAGUGGAAUUCCCGGUGUAGCGGUGAAAUGCGCAGAUAUCGGGAGGAACACCUAUGGCGAAGGCAGCUCGCUGGGACGUUACUGACACUGAGAAGCGAAAGCCAGGGGAGCAAACGGG
rnacentral:rRNA from 1 species